GCUAAAAUAUCGGAUAAUUGGCUCGUCUUAUCGACGCAACUUCCCUCCUUUGCUCCAUCACUCAGCUCCGGACUCCAGUGGCUGCCCUCGCUUCUCUGGCUGAAGUCGUAAAAGACCGGGAAAACAGCACGCUUUUCACUUCACUUCAAGACGACAGACUGAGCGUGGCUUGCCUCGCUAGCCUCUGAUUGGCUGCUGAGACUAGAUCGCCAUCAUGGGGUGGCCAGCUGCAGGUGGAGUGGGCUUUGGUGACAGGUCACUUCAUACAUGGGUGCUGCUGACAAGGGUCAAAGGAGUUAGGGGGUAAGAGAGGAUGGACAGAGUGACGAGAGUGGGAGGAGGAAUAGAGUUUCUUUCAUUGGACCUUUUUCUUGAGUGACAGGCAGAAUAGUGGGCUGGAGUCACACACCGUACAUUUACUAACAAAUCAGCAAUAUGACUAUGUAAUAAUAGUACUAUUAUAUAAUCAGGUAUAAAAACAGUGUAUGAAGUACCAUACUUUAGGUAAUUAAAUUUCACCAAGAUGCUAAGUUUCUGUGAUUUUAUGGAGUAAUGUGAAUACCGUAUCUUUCGGACUAUAAGGCGUGCUUAAAAUCCUUUAAUUUUCUCAAAAAUCGACAGUGCACCCUAUAACCCGGUGCACCUUAUGUAUUACUUCUGAUUGUGCUUACUGACCUCGA